rnacentral:rRNA from 1 species
CCUACGGGUGGCUGCAGUGAGGAAUAUUGGUCAAUGGGCGGAAGCCUGAACCAGCCAAGUCGCGUGAGGGAUUACGGCCCUACGGGUCGUAAACCUCUUUUGCCGGGGAGCAAGGGCCGGGACGAGUCCCGGUCCGGAGAGUACCCGGAGAACAAGCAUCGGCAAACUCCGUGCCACAAGCCGCGUUAAUCCGGAGGAUGCGAGCGUUAUCCGGAUUUAUUGGGUUUACAGGGUGCGUAGGCGGACUUUUAAGUCAGCGGUAAAAGUUCGGGGCUCAACCCCGUCCGGCCGUUGAAACUGGGGGUCUUGAGUGAGCGAGAAGAAUGCGGAAUGCGUGGUGUAGCGGUGAAAUGCAUAGAUAUCACGCAGAACCCCGAUUGCGAAGGCAGCAUACCGGCGCCCAACUGACGCUGAGGCACGAAAGUGCGGGGAUCGAACAGGAUUAGAUACCCCUGUAGUC